UACGAAGGGGGCUAGCGUUGUUCGGAAUUACUGGGCGUAAAGCGCGCGUAGGCGGUGAUCUUUGUCAGAGGUGAAAUCCCGAGGCUCAACUUCGGAAUUGCCUUUGAAACGGGAUCGCUUGAGUCCGAGAGAGGAUGGCGGAAUUCCUAGUGUAGAGGUGAAAUUCGUAGAUAUUAGGAAGAACACCGGUGGCGAAGGCGGCCAUCUGGCUCGGUACUGACGCUCAGGCGCGAAAGCGUGGGGAGCAAACAGG
rnacentral:rRNA from 2 species